rnacentral:tRNA from 1 species
GGGAAGGUGGCUCAGUGGUAGAGUGCUUGUCUUGCAUGCAUGAUGCCCUGGGUUCAAU